rnacentral:rRNA from 1 species
GAUGAACGCUGGCGGCGUGCCUAAUACAUGCAAGUCGAGCGAACGGACGAGAAGCUUGCUUCUCUGAUGUUAGCGGCGGACGGGUGAGUAACACGUGGAUAACCUACCUAUAAGACUGGGAUAACUUCGGGAAACCGGAGCUAAUACCGGAUAAUAUUUUGAACCGCAUGGUUCAAAAGUGAAAGACGGUCUUGCUGUCACUUAUAGAUGGAUCCGCGCUGCAUUAGCUAGUUGGUAAGGUAACGGCUUACCAAGGCAACGAUGCAUAGCCGACCUGAGAGGGUGAUCGGCCACACUGGAAGUGAGACACGGUCCAGACUCCUACGGGAGGCAGCAGUAGGGAAUCUUCCGCAAAGGGCGAAAGCCUGACGGAGCAACGCCGCGUGAGUGAUGAAGGUCUUCGGAUCGUAAAACUCUGUUAUUAGUGAAGAACAUAUGUGUAAGUAACUGUGCACAUCUUGACGGUACCUAAUCAGAAAGCCACGGCUAACUACGUG